rnacentral:lncRNA from 1 species
GCAACAGCUCCCGGACCUUCGACAAUCAGCCAAGAGGUUGCUAACAGCGAUUACAUGUUGUCCGGGGCAGUGCGCAGGGUCCCUGUUCCGUAAAACACCCAAACUAUCCACCUACAACCAAUAUAAUAUUCAAAUAAUGUAUAGAAGCGAGUUUUAGGCUCGUUACCACGAUCCAUGUCGUAACGAACCAGACCAACCUGUCAAUUUGUUUCCUCUCGAGUCUUGACGCUACGAGACUCGUGCUCGCUGUUCGGAGUGCAAGCGAUGACCAGGGAACCUUGAAACAACAAGAAAAC